GCGUGGGGAGCAAACAGGAUUAGAUACCUGGUAGUCACGCUGUAAACGACGUCGAUUUGGAGGUUGUUCCCGUGAGGAGUGGCUUCCGGAGCUAACGCGUUAAAUCGACCGCCUGGGGAGUACGGCCGCAAGGUUAAAACUCAAAUGAAUUGACGGGGGCCCGCACAAGCGGUGGAGCAUGUGGUUUAAUUCGAUGCAACGCGAAGAACCUUACCUACUCUUGACAUCCAGAGAAUUUAGCAGAGAUGCUUUAGUGCCUUCGGGAACUCUGAGACAGGUGCUGCAUGGCUGUCGUCAGCUCGUGUUGUGAAAUGUUGGGUUAAGUCCCGCAACGAGCGCAACCCUUAUCCUUUGUUGCCAGCACAUUAUGGUGGGAACUCAAAGGAGACUGCCGGUGAUAAACCGGAGGAAGGUGGGGAUGACGUCAAGUCAUCAUGGCCCUUACGAGUAGGGCUACGCACGUGCUACAAUGGCGUAUACAAAGAGAAGCGACCUCGCGAGAGCAAGCGGAACUCAUAAAGUACGUCGUAGUCCGGAUUGGAGUCUGCAACUCGACUCCAUGAAGUCGGAAUCGCUAGUAAUCGUAGAUCAGAAUGCUACGGUGAAUACGUUCCCGGGCCUUGUACACACCGCCCGUCACACCAUGGGAGUGGGUUGCAAAAGAAGUAGGUAGCUUAACCUUCGGGAGGGCGCUUACCACUUUGUGAUUCAUGACUGGGGUGAAGUCGUAACAAGGUAACCA
rnacentral:rRNA from 1 species